rnacentral:rRNA from 1 species
CCUACGGGUGGCAGCCGUGAGGAAUAUUGGUCAAUGGGCGGACGCCUGAACCAGCCAAGUAGCGUGCAGGAUGACGGCCCGACGGGUUGUAAACUGCUUUUAUCCGGGACUAACGCGCCUUACGUGUAGGGCUUUGCAUGUACCGUAUGAGUAAGGACAGGCUAAUUCCGUGCCAGCAGCCGCGGUAAUACGGAAGUUCCGGGCGUUAUCCGGAUUUAUUGGGUUUAAAGGGAGCGUAGGCCGCAUGUCAAGCGUGCUGUGAAAUGUCCGGGCUCAACCCGGGCCUUGCAGCGCGAACUGGCGUGCUUGAGUCCGCGGAGAGCAGGCGGAAGUCGUCGUGUAGCGGUGAAAGGCUGAGAUAUGACGAAGAACCCCGAUUGCGAAGGCAGCUUGCUGCAGCGGAACUGACGCUGAUGCUCGAAAGCGCGGGUAUCGAACAGGAUUAGAUACCCCGGUAGUC